GAGAGACGAAGGCACCGGUCCUGCAACACCAAUGUGAGUUAUCCAAGGAACCUUUCUCCAAACUCCCCAUGGUCCUGCCCCAGCCACCCUUCUUUGCCCUUCCUGUCUGUAUAUCACCCUCCCUCCACUCCAGCACUUCCCUUGUCAUCUAGUUUUCAAACUGUUUCACUACAGAAAUAAGCUCCCUUAAAAUAAUUGCCCUCGCUCCCCCUACCCCACUCCAAAUACAGUUUAAUGUCUUCACUCUUCACAGCUCAGUUACCCUCAGAACCCCGCCCCUACUUAUUGCCACCCACCAAAGCCUGAUUGAGCUUGCUCUUGCCAACCCAGCAUCUCCCGUGGGGUCUCCACUGUCCUUUGAAGUCCAUAUUGAGUGCAUUGCCCUCUGGAGCUUCCUACUGCUUCCUCUUUAAAUGUUGGAGUUCCCUUUGCCUGGAGAUGGCUCCAUCAUGAAGAUGUUUAGGUGUGGAGGCCAACAAGCCAGAAGAAGGGAUGCUCAGAAGCCAGGAAAAGCUGCUCUGGGAAUGAGCAGUAGCCUUUGAGGUCCCUUAUAUAGGGAUUAUCAGAGCAUUUCUAUGCCCCUCACAUUAAAAAAAAAAACUCAAGUCUUUUCCCCAAAACCAGCUCAAUCUUCUACCUCCUCUCUCAAGAAAAGUUUGAACUCAGGACUCAGGUAUCUACUUCCAGCUCAGCCUUACUUAAUAUUACCCAGUUCACACAUCAUAAGCCAGGUAUGGUGGUAUACACCUGUGUGCACUUGGCUGAGGCAGGAGGCUUACAAGUUUGAGGCCAACUUGGCUUAUGUACAGUAAGAGCCUGUCUCAAAAAUAAGUACACAGGGGCUGGGAAGAUGGUUUUUAAAGUGCUUCAAUGCCAGCACCCAAACAAGAAUACAAACACAAACACGGUCACAAAACAUGCACCUUCAUAGCUAGAGUGGACACCAUCCACCCUCACCUGGACUCCUGCCUCUAGCCUUCCUCACUCACUCGACUCACUCAUGCCACUCAAAACAACAGUUCUCUGCCCUAAUUUCUUCUUACCUGCCCCAGGACUGUCCACCUGGCUCCCAGGACUUCAGAGAAAUGCAGUGCUCUGAAUUUGACAGUGUCCCUUUCCGCGGAAAAUUCUACACGUGGAAGACAUACCGAGGAGGUAAGUGAACCUCGCAGAGGCUGUGGCACCGUUGGGUACAACAGCAGCUGGCUUACAGGCUCAUGGAGCCCUUAUCCUCUGCCCAAGGCGAUAGUUGUCCUUGAUAGAACUCAAUGGUACUUUAUAUGUAGGGAAACUUCGCUGUUCCCUCUGACCAUGGAGUUUGGGGUCUGUGGCUUUUGUCCCCUCAGGCAGGGAGUUCCAGGGUGACCUGGCUCCAAGUCUGAUGGGGCCAUGCCCCCCCAGGGGGUGUGAAGGCCUGUUCGCUGACUUGCCUAGCAGAAGGCUUCAACUUUUAUACGGAGCGAGCAGCAGCUGUGGUGGAUGGAACACCCUGCCGCCCUGACACGGUGGACAUUUGUGUCAGCGGCGAGUGCAAGGUAGAGGAGACUCCCAGGGAGGAAGAAAAUGAGGUCGGGGAGAAGAUUAUAAGGAGGAGACAUCUCCAUGACACCAUCAACACAACCAUUAUCUUCCUAUGCAGCAUGUAGGCUGUGACAGGGUCCUGGGUUCUGAUCUCCGAGAGGACAAAUGCCGUGUGUGUGGGGGUGAUGGCAGUGCCUGUGAGACCAUUGAAGGUGUCUUUAGCCCAGCUUUGCCAGGAACUGGUAAGAAUCCUUCCCUCUGCAAGCCUCUUGUGACUUGAUCAGGGUUAGUCUCACUAUAGUAGCCAAAACCAAUAACUCUUUAGAUGUGGGGAUCCUGUGGGAUCUGAAUUAUAGUAAGGGUCUUGGGAGCCCCCAAAUAUCCAGGGAGUACAAAAUUGUUCUUAAUUUUCUUGUUGAGACAAAAUACCUCACCAGAAGUGAGUGUGUGUGUGUGUGUGUGUGUGUGUGUGUGUGUGUGUGUGUGAAAUGUGUGCACACACAUGUGUUUAUCUUGCACAGUGCAUCAUGGUGCUUAGCUUUUUCCCCUUUUUGUGCAGUCUGGUUCUCUACCCCAUUUAGGGUAGAUCUCCCACUUCAGUUAACCUAAUUUUAAAAAGCACACAUAAACAUGCCCAGAGACUCGUCUCCAAGGUGAUUCUAGAUCCUGUGAAGUUGACAAUCAAUGUUAUCCAAUCACAAUCAUAAUUAGGAAGGAAGGGCCUUAGCUACUGACUUGGGAUCUAGCAUAUAGAAAUUCAUGAGUUGGGACUGUACAUCUCCCCUCCAUCAUCCUUGGGAUGGGCACAAGGUCAUUUUCUAACCUAUGAGUCUAAGGGGCUGGGAAACUCUCUGUACUAGUGGAGGUCUUACUAUCAGAGAACUAAGAAGACAUUCAGAACACCCUUUUCAGCUUGGGUUGAGAAAGAGAGCGCUGAGGGAAUAGGGGAUGGGAUAGGGUUCUAGAAGGAUGAAGCUGGAAGCAUUAUUGGCAGAAACCACAAAGAGUGAGUUGCAGAAUGUCUGUGUUAUUCUCCAGGCAGGGUUAGAUUAGGGAUGGUUUGCUUGGUUGAUUGGUUGGUUUAAGACUAGAACAUCUGCCCUGGGCAGUGGUGGCACACAACUUUAAUCUCGGCAUCUGGGAGGCAGACACAAAUUGAUCACUGAGUUCGAGGUCAGUCUGGUCUGUAGACAGAGUGAGUUCCAGGACUACACAGAGAAACCAUGACUUGAAGAGG
rnacentral:lncRNA from 1 species